CUACGUGCCAGCAGCCGCGGUAAUACGGAAGGUCCAGGCGUUAUCCGGAUUUAUUGGGUUUAAAGGGAGCGUAGGCCGUGGAUUAAGCGUGUUGUGAAAUGUAGACGCUCAACGUCUGAAUUGCAGCGCGAACUGGUUCACUUGAGUAUGCACAACGUAGGCGGAAUUCGUCGUGUAGCGGUGAAAUGCUUAGAUAUGACGAAGAACUCCGAUUGCGAAGGCAGCUUACGGGAGCACAACUGACGCUGAAGCUCGAAGGUGCGGGUAUCAAACAGGAUUAGAUACCCUGGUAGUCCGCACAGUAAACGAUGGAUGCCCGUUGUUAGUUCACUUUAGAAUUAGCGACCAAGCGAAAGCAUUAAGCAUCCCACCUGGGGAGUACGCCGGCAACGGUGAAACUCAAAGGAAUUGACGGGGGCCCGCACAAGCGGAGGAACAUGUGGUUUAAUUCGAUGAUACGCGAGGAACCUUACCCGGGCU
rnacentral:rRNA from 1 species